UGGCGAACGGGUGAGUAACGCGUGAGGAACCUGCCUCAAAGAGGGGGACAACAGUUGGAAACGACUGCUAAUACCGCAUAAGCCCACGACCCGGCAUCGGGAGGAGGGAAAAGGAGCAAUCCGCUUUGAGAUGGCCUCGCGUCCGAUUAGCUAGUUGGUGAGGUAACGGCCCACCAAGGCGACGAUCGGUAGCCGGACUGAGAGGUUGAACGGCCACAUUGGGACUGAGACACGGCCCAG
rnacentral:rRNA from 1 species